rnacentral:rRNA from 1 species
AGCAGCCGCGGUAAUUCCAGCUCCAAUAGCGUAUAUUAAAGUUGUUGCAGUUAAAAAGCUCGUAGUUGAAUUUCGGGAUCAGUUUGUUGGUCGUGCCUCGGUACGUACUGUCAUUACUGGUUUCUACCUUCUGAAGAACCUUGAUGUCAUUAAUUUGGUGUCUUGGGGAAUCAGGACUGUUACUUUGAAAAAUUAGAGUGUUUAAAGCAAGCAUACGCUUGAAUACAUUAGCAUGGAAUAAUGAAAUAGGACGUUUGAUUCUAUUUUGUUGGUUUCUAGGAUCGACGUAAUGAUUAAUAGGGAUAGUUGGGGGCAUUAGUAUUCAAUUGUCAGAGGUGAAAUUCUUGGAUUUAUUGAAGACUAACUACUGCGAAAGCAUUUGCCAAGGAUGUUUUCAUUAAUCAAGAACGAAAGUUAGGGGAUCGAAGACGAUCAGAUACCGUCGUAGUCUUAACCAUAAACUAUGCCGACUAGGGAUCGGAUGAUGUUAUUUUUAAUGACUCAUUCGGCGCCUUACGGG